rfam:Hordeum vulgare subsp. vulgare, WGS project CAJW01000000 data, contig: morex_contig_44593
AAAAUACUCCCUCCGUCCGGAAUUACUUGUCGCUGGAAUGGAUAAAAAAUGGAUGUAUUUAGAACUAAAAUACGUCUAUAUACAUCUGUUUCUUUGACAAGUAAUUCGGGACAGAAGGAGUAUUUA